AGCCCAAAAAGCCUGAAGAGGCAGAGGGAAAAUGCGACAUGGAGAAAGAAUAAACAGGAAGCAACCCAGGAGAAGAAAGAGUCAAACUAAUGGAAACCAUUGACAAAUAACACGCAGGAGGGGGAGGACGGGGAGGGGGGAAAAAAAAGGGAGAGGGAGUGCUUAAAAAGAGCGAGAAUAUGCUAAAAGAAGAGGAGGACAAAACGGCGCUGAAAGGAGAGUGAGGGCAAAAUUGAAUUGUAGAUUGAGGGAGCCUCUCUCCUCCCUCUCUCCCUCCCUCUUUUAUUUAUCUCAUGUGAAGCCACGCCUCCCUCCUUUCACUUGUCAGUGCAUCCAUAACAGUGAGCUGUCUGCACCGGGCUGCGUGGGGGGUGAGACUCGCUCCUCACUUUUGCCAGCGCAAGCCGACCGGAUCCGAGCAGAGCAGGACCGGGAGUGGACGGCGUAUAGUCCGGCCAAACAGAACUUGGCAGUCUGAGGCUGAUUUCUGUGGGAGAGGAGAACAUCUAAAGGAGCUUGUUUA